AGAAACUAAACGAGAACACGUGUCUGGAUGUAUUUCCAAACUAAUAGAUUAUUUCCAUUUUCUUAGAAAUUGUCUAUUACAACUAAUUAGCUGAACAAGGAAAUAAACCAAAAGGACUAAAAAUACAUUUCUAAAAACAAUUAAUAAAAAAAAAAAAAGAAAAGGGCCCGGCUAUAAUCAUGUGACUAAAGUGACAUGUGUAUAUAAAGAUUGAUUAGAGUAUUGUUGACAGAUUCAGCCCUACUGUAAACUAAGGUAACAGACUGAACCGAGCUCUUAACGUCAUAAUGAAGUCACUGUUAAUGUGUACAUUCUUCCUCCUGUGCAUUGGCCAGUUAAUGACACCUACCGAUGGAAGUGUUAUUGGCAGGUGUUGGGACACCUGGAGCCGAUGUUCAACGUGGAGCAGGUGGUUUACAGGUCGAGUCUGGCUUACGUGUGACGGAAAGUGCCGAGAACUGGGCAAGAGAGGUGGCAACUGUGUGAUGACUCCAUCUACUUGCCCUCUGUCAAGCGAAGCCUUCCAAUGUCAGUGUUACGCAUGACCUGCACUCACGUGACUUUUCUCUAAUAGAAAGGAGAAACGCAUGACACUUCAUUUCUAUUGAUCAAAGACACUACAGUUUUUGUUUUUACAUUUUAAUCUUACAAAGUAUAUACACUACUAAAUCUUUGGAUGAUUGUUUAUAUCUAAUGGAAUGUUGAAAUUAAUAUAUUUCCAUUAAUCUAUGAGUUUGAAUAGUAUGUAUUUUUUAUAUUGUAUAUGUAACAUUCUAAAUGUAUAUUACUAACCAAUAUCAGAAUAGCUUUUAGACACAAUGGAGAUAGGCUUAAAAAAACUUGAUCUUCUUUUUGCUUAUUUUUAAAGAACUCGUUUUCUAUUCCCUGGACUUUCCGUAGUGGAGAAUUUCUUAUCCUGUGGUCAGAGAGGUCAAGGUUGUAGUAACACAUUUUGUAACAGUAUUUCAUUGAUCGGAGUCAUCAACCAACGUACUGUUUCUUCAGUAUUGUCUAAUAGAACUAAAAAUUAUCUUGAGAUAAAUAUGCAUUGGAAUGUAUUCAUCAAGCUUCUUUGUAAAGCGCCAAUAUGCUCCACUAGAUGUCACAUUGUGUCUGUUAUGUAUAUUCUUCUAAUAUUAUUUAAUUCAACGUUCCAUAUAAUAAGCACAAGAAUAGUAAAAGACGUUUUGUUCAUUG